rnacentral:rRNA from 1 species
AACGAACGCUGGCGGCAUGCCUAACACAUGCAAGUCGAACGAGACCUUCGGGUCUAGUGGCGCACGGGUGCGUAACGCGUGGGAACCUGCCCUUAGGUUCGGAAUAACUCCCCGAAAGGGGUGCUAAUACCGGAUAAUGUCUUCGGACCAAAGAUUUAUCGCCUUUGGAUGGGCCCGCGUUGGAUUAGCUAGUUGGUAGGGUAAAAGCCUACCAAGGCGACGAUCCAUAGCUGGUCUGAGAGGAUGAUCAGCCACACUGGGACUGAGACACGGCCCAGAAUCCUACGGGAGGCAGCAGUGGGGAAUAUUGGACAAUGGGGGAAAGCCUGAUCCAGCAAUGCCGGGUGAGUGAUGAAGGCCUUAGGGUUGUAAAGCUCUUUUACCCGGGAUGAUAAUGACAGUACCGGGAGAAUAAGCACCGGCUAACUCCGUG